GAUUGAAAAUGUGACGUCAUUCAGGGGUAAAACCGCAAAGGAUUCUGGGAGGUGGUGGUAAGAGGUACUAGCGGGCACUGGCUUUCAAUAGAAAUCAGUUAAACAGCGAUAAAAAGAAACAUAAAAUGGCAAGAAGCUGUUGUAUUAUUAACUGCACAAGCCGGGCGAACGACAGCCACGUGAAGUCGACGGGAAAUGCGUUUGGUUUUUAUCGGAUUCCGGCGUGAAAGAGAAAUUGUCCAAGCCAUGUCUCCGAAGUCACGAAGAGGCGACGGAUGGCCUGGAUUGCCGCUAUCCUUAUACCUAAUAUAACGUUCGAAAACACUCCACCUCACAUGUUAGUCUGCUCCAAGCAUUUCCACAAAGCCAUACAGACACGUUGCCAGUGGGAACUGGAAAUGUCAGAGUGGCAUUCAUCCCAGUAUGUUUGAAGAUCCACUGCUCUGAAGGAGAGAGAAGAAAAGAAAACGGAGUGAAGACUCAUCACCUCCACAGCAGCCAAUCAGCUUCUGUUCAGAGCCACCCACCAAACUACUGAGCCAAACUUUAACGCUCGUCUGACUGUGAGUCCCAGCAGCUCUCAGUUCAUCAACCUCCUAGGACCUGGCAUCC